rnacentral:tRNA from 1 species
AGGAUAAUAGUUAAAAAAUAACAUUUAAUUUGCAUUUAAAAAUUGAUAAUAAUAUCUUAUCUUA